rnacentral:piRNA from 1 species
GAGUAUUCGAGGUUAAGUGCUUGCCUAA